UUUGCUUGUUAGGUUGCAAAGGGAUUGGGAUUUAAUGAGAAAACCUAGGCUCUUUCACCUAAGGGAUUAGGGUUAGAGUGUUUUAGUGGAUUGACUUUAGUAAAUUGAUAGAGAGGAGAUGAAAUUGGGUGUACACAAGAGUUAAUUGGUCAAAACUAACCUUAACAAUGUCAUUUCAUACCAUUUCUAGUCUUGUCCAUUUCUAAGUGCCUUCAAACACCAAAUUCCAAC
rnacentral:lncRNA from 1 species